rnacentral:rRNA from 1 species
UACGGAGGGGGCUAGCGUUGUUCGGAAUUACUGGGCGUAAAGCGCACGUAGGCGGCUUUGUAAGUUAGAGGUGAAAGCCCAGGGCUCAACCCUGGAAUUGCCUUUAAGACUGCAUCGCUUGAACAUCGGAGAGGUAAGUGGAAUUCCGAGUGUAGAGGUGAAAUUCGUAGAUAUUCGGAAGAACACCAGUGGCGAAGGCGACUCGCUGGACAGACAUUGACGCUGAGGUGCGAAAGCUAGGGGAGCAAACGGG